rnacentral:rRNA from 1 species
GAUCCUGGCUCAGGAUGAACGCUAGCUACAGGCUUAACACAUGCAAGUCGAGGGGCAGCAUGGUCUUAGCUUGCUAAGGCCGAUGGCGACCGGCGUACGGGUGAGUAACACGUAUCCAACCUGCCGUCUACUCUUGGACAGGCCUUCUGAAAGGAAGAUUAAUACAAGAUGGCAUCAUGAAGUUCGACAUGUUCACAUGAUUAAAGGUAUUCCGGUAGACGAUGGGGAUGCG